rnacentral:rRNA from 1 species
GCGAUACAGGGUGACAGCCCCGUACACAAAAAUGCACAUACUGUGAGCUCGAUGAGUAGGGCGGGACACGUGGUAUCCUGUCUGAAUAUGGGGGGACCAUCCUCCAAGGCUAAAUACUCCUGACUGACCGAUAGUGAACCAGUACCGUGAGGGAAAGGCGAAAAGAACCCCGGCGAGGGGAGUGAAAAAGAACCUGAAACCGUGUACGUACAAGCAGUGGGAGCCUCUUAAUGGGGUGACUGCGUACCUUUUGUAUAAUGGGUCAGCGACUUAUAUUCUGUAGCAAGGUUAACCGAAUAGGGGAGCCGAAGGGAAACCGAGUCUUAACUGGGCGUUAAGUUGCAGGGUAUAGACCCGAAACCCGGUGAUCUAGCCAUGGGCAGGUUGAAGGUUGGGUAACACUAACUGGAGGACCGAACCGACUAAUGUUGAAAAAUUAGCGGAUGACUUGUGGCUGGGGGUGAAAGGCCAAUCAAACCGGGAGAUAGCUGGUUCUCCCCGAAAGCUAUUUAGGUAGCGCCUCGUGAAUUCAUCUCCGGGGGUAGAGCACUGUUUCGGCAAGGGGGUCAUCCCGACUUACCAACCCGAUGCAAACUGCGAAUACCGGAGAAUGUUAUCACGGGAGACACACGGCGGGUGCUAACGUCCGUCGUGAAGAGGGAAACAACCCAGACCGCCAGCUAAGGUCCCAAAGUCAUGGUUAAGUGGGAAACGAUGUGGGAAGGCCCAGACAGCCAGGAUGUUGGCUUAGAAGCAGCCAUCAUUUAAAGAAAGCGUAAUAGCUCACUGGUCGAGUCGGCCUGCGCGGAAGAUGUAACGGGGCUAAACCAUGCACCGAAGCUGCGGCAGCGACGCUUAUGCGUUGUUGGGUAGGGGAGCGUUCUGUAAGCCUGUGAAGGUGGCCUGUGAGGGUUGCUGGAGGUAUCAGAAGUGCGAAUGCUGACAUAAGUAACGAUAAAGCGGGUGAAAAGCCCGCUCGCCGGAAGACCAAGGGUUCCUGUCCAACGUUAAUCGGGGCAGGGUGAGUCGACCCCUAAGGCGAGGCCGAAAGGCGUAGUCGAUGGGAAACAGGUUAAUAUUCCUGUACUUGGUGUUACUGCGAAGGGGGGACGGAGAAGGCUAUGUUGGCCGGGCGACGGUUGUCCCGGUUUAAGCGUGUAGGCUGGUUUUCCAGGCAAAUCCGGAAAAUCAAGGCUGAGGCGUGAUGACGAGGCACUACGGUGCUGAAGCGACAAAUGCCCUGCUUCCAGGAAAAGCCUCUAAGCAUCAGGUAACAUCAAAUCGUACCCCAAACCGACACAGGUGGUCAGGUAGAGAAUACCAAGGCGCUUGAGAGAACUCGGGUGAAGGAACUAGGCAAAAUGGUGCCGUAACUUCGGGAGAAGGCACGCUGAUAUGUAGGUGAAGCGACUUGCUCGUGGAGCUGAAAUCAGUCGAAGAUACCAGCUGGCUGCAACUGUUUAUUAAAAACACAGCACUGUGCAAACACGAAAGUGGACGUAUACGGUGUGACGCCUGCCCGGUGCCGGAAGGUUAAUUGAUGGGGUUAGCGGUAACGCGAAGCUCUUGAUCGAAGCCCCGGUAAACGGCGGCCGUAACUAUAACGGUCCUAAGGUAGCGAAAUUCCUUGUCGGGUAAGUUCCGACCUGCACGAAUGGCGUAAUGAUGGCCAGGCUGUCUCCACCCGAGACUCAGUGAAAUUGAACUCGCUGUGAAGAUGCAGUGUACCCGCGGCAAGACGGAAAGACCCCGUGAACCUUUACUAUAGCUUGACACUGAACAUUGAGCCUUGAUGUGUAGGAUAGGUGGGAGGCUUUGAAGUGUGGACGCCAGUCUGCAUGGAGCCGACCUUGAAAUACCACCCUUUAAUGUUUGAUGUUCUAACGUGGGCCCCUAAUCGGGGUUGCGGACAGUGUCUGGUGGGUAGUUUGACUGGGGCGGUCUCCUCCUAAAGAGUAACGGAGGAGCACGAAGGUUGGCUAAUCCUGGUCGGACAUCAGGAGGUUAGUGCAAUGGCAUAAGCCAGCUUGACUGCGAGCGUGACGGCGCGAGCAGGUGCGAAAGCAGGUCAUAGUGAUCCGGUGGUUCUGAAUGGAAGGGCCAUCGCUCAACGGAUAAAAGGUACUCCGGGGAUAACAGGCUGAUACCGCCCAAGAGUUCAUAUCGACGGCGGUGUUUGGCACCUCGAUGUCGGCUCAUCACAUCCUGGGGCUGAAGUAGGUCCCAAGGGUAUGGCUGUUCGCCAUUUAAAGUGGUACGCGAGCUGGGUUUAGAACGUCGUGAGACAGUUCGGUCCCUAUCUGCCGUGGGCGCUGGAGAACUGAGGGGGGCUGCUCCUAGUACGAGAGGACCGGAGUGGACGCAUCACUGGUGUUCGGGUUGUCAUGCCAAUGGCACUGCCCGGUAGCUAAAUGCGGAAGAGAUAAGUGCUGAAAGCAUCUAAGCACGAAACUUGCCCCGAGAUGAGUUCUCCCUGACUCCUUGAGAGUCCUGAAGGAACGUUGAAGACGACGACGUUGAUAGGCCGGGUGUGUAAGCGCAGCGAUGCGUUGAGCUAACCGGUACUAAUGAACCGUGAGGCUUAACCUU